rnacentral:rRNA from 1 species
UACGGAGGGUGCAAACGUUGCUCGGAAUCAUUGGGCGUAAAGCGCACGUAGGUGGCCUGUUAAGUCGGGUGUGAAAUCCCUGGGCUCAACCCAGGAAGUGCACUCGAAACUGGCAGGCUUGAGUACUGAAGAGGGUCGCGGAAUUCCCGGUGUAGAGGUGAAAUUCGUAGAUAUCGGGAGGAACACCAGUGGCGAAGGCGGCGACCUGGGCAGAUACUGACACUGAGGUGCGAAAGCGUGGGGAGCAAACAGGG